rnacentral:rRNA from 1 species
ACUAGAGUAGCACUCGCAUAUCAAUAAGCGGAGGAAAAGAAACUAACUAAGGAUUCCCUCAGUAACGGCGAGUGAAGCGGGAAGAGCUCAAAUUUGAAAUCUUCAAGGUUCUACCUUGACGAAUUGUAGUUUAUAGAAGUGUUUUCUGUUAGUAGAGUGGCAAAAGUUCUUUGGAAUAGGACAUCAUAGAGGGUGAGAAUCCCGUAUUUGAUCAUUCUUUCUAGCUUUGUGAUACACUUUCAACGAGUCGGAUUGUUUGGGAAUGCAGUCCAAAAUGGGUGGUAAAUUACAUCUAAAGCUAAAUAUUGGCGAGAGACCGAUAGCGAACAAGUACCGUGAGGGAAAGAUGAAAAGAACUUUGAAAAGAGAGUUAAACAGUACGUGAAAUUGUCAAAAGGGAAGCGUUUGACACCAGUGUUGUUUUUCCGAAAAUCAAUUACGAAUGUUUUGUUUUUAAGAAGUUAUGACUUCAUCGGCUUGCUUCCUUUCUUUACGAAACUUUCUUAAUGCACUUUUCGGUUAACAAGUCAACAUCAAUUUCUUUUGUUGUAAAAGGGUAUGAGGAAGGUGGCUUUCUUUUCGGAGAAAGUGUUUAUAGCCUUGUGCCUCUGCAAUCGGAGAGAUUGAGGUCUGCAGCGUAGAUCCUUCGGGGUUAGAUACAGUUGUGCUAAGUUAUAACUUUUCAUAGACAACUUGUUGACUAUGUUUAGUCUUGUAGCUUACUCGCUUACGCUAUUUUACCUACGCUUAGGAUGUUGAAGAUGUAGCACAUCAU